rnacentral:rRNA from 1 species
GAUGAACGCUGGCGGCGUGCCCAAUACAUGCAAGUCGAGCGAACAGACGAGGAGCUUGCUCCUCUGACGUUAGCGGCGGACGGGUGAGUAACACGUGGAUAACCUACCUAUAAGACUGGGAUAACUUCGGGAAACCGGAGCUAAUACCGGAUAAUAUAUUGAACCGCAUGGUUCAAUAGUGAAAGACGGUUUUGCUGUCACUUAUAGAUGGAUCCGCGCCACAUUAGCUAGUUGGUAAGGUAACGGCUUACCAAGGCAACGAUGCGUAGCCGACCUGAGAGGGUGAUCGGCCACACUGGAACUGAGACACGGUCCAGACUCCUACGGGAGGCAGCAGUAGGGAAUCUUCCGCAAUGGGCGAAAGCUUGACGGAGCAACGCCGCGUGAGUGAUGAAGGUCUUCGGAUCGUAAAACUCUGUUAUUAGGGAAGAACAAAUGUGUAAGUAACUAUGCACGUCUUGACGGUACCUAAUCAGAAAGCCACGGCUAACUACGUG